UACGUAGGGAGCAAGCGUUGUUCGGAUUUACUGGGCGUAAAGGGCGCGUAGGCGGCAUAUUAAGUCAUCUGUGAAAUCUCCGAGCUUAACUCGGAACUGUCAGCUGAUACUGAUGUGCUAGAGUGCGGAAGGGGCAAUCGGAAUUCUUGGUGUAGCGGUGAAAUGCGUAGAUAUCAAGAGGAACACCUGAGGUGAAGACGGGUUGCUGGGCCGACACUGACGCUGAGUGCGCGAAAGCCAGGGGAGCAAACGGG
rnacentral:rRNA from 1 species